UAAGCAUAUACUCCUUGUGUAUGUAAUAAUAGGCCUAAAGAAAUCGGUUUUGGAAAAUGGUUUCUUUAUGCUUUUUUUAUUAUACCA
rnacentral:antisense_RNA from 1 species